CAGGCUGCAGCCGCGUGCUCCCGGGUCUGCGUCUGUCUCCGGGCUGUCCGCCCACUCGCCCUCCACAGGCUGCAGGUUCUGCCCGCGGGAUUUUCGUCACUGACAUCUGCCCAAGGCAUUUGAUGCAUCCCACCAAAGAUCCCCAACACAAUCUAGACAGCAUCUAUGAAGAGGAAAAACAAAAUUAAUGUUUCAGGGACUGAUUUCCUGCAAACAGGUAAAGGAGCUGGACAAGUUUUGAUGCUAGCAGACUUCCUCCUGAGUUUUUUAUUUAAGAUCUCCAGCUAAUGCAAUCUCUUGUUUUGGUCUUCACCUUGGCUGAUGAUAAUGCCUUAGUUAUGUAAGUUAGGAAGCUGUCCAUCACUGAGGAGGCCUUCAGUGUGAUUGUUAAACAUUUGUCUCUGUGAUCAAUCAUACAGACUCAGAUAUUUUUAUAUAGUCGACCCACCCACUGGGCACACUCAGAUCAAUAAACAACCUCAAUAAACAAAAUAUUCAGUGUUCUGAAGAAAGGAAAAAUGUUGAUAUAUUACCAAACACUAUAAACUCCCAUAUUAAUUAAAGUACCAUUCUGAUUUUCAAAGUUUCAUAUGACUUUGUUACAAAGUAUUUAAGAUAUGAGACAAGCUUCUGCUCACCAGCAGAUAAUAUCCCCGUGAUUUCUGGUUGAGGACAUUGACUGCUGCACCAUCUGGGAUCACUCAAAUUAUUCUUCAACUUUGAGGCAAUACCCAAUUCAAAUUUGAGAUCAGGUGGUGUUUUAAGGCUUUGACAAAUGACACAUUCUGUGUGAAGCUUUGUUCUUCAUGGGCAAUCCUUUGGGAUCGAGGAUGACUUGCUUCUACUCUGGUUCAUUGGAUUCUGAGGUGACUGAUGAGACC